UACAGAGGGGGCAAGUGUUAUUCGGAAUUAUUGGGCGUAAAGGGCGCGUAGGCGGCCAUUCAAGUGACGGGUGAAAGCCCUCGGCUUAACCGAGGAACUGCCUGUCAGACUGGAUGGCUUGAGACCGGGAGAGGUGAGUGGAAUUCCCAGUGUAGCGGUGAAAUGCGUAGAUAUUGGGAGGAACACCAGUGGCGAAGGCGGCUCACUGGACCGGAACUGACGCUGAGGCGCGAAAGCGUGGGGAGCAACAGG
rnacentral:rRNA from 1 species